rnacentral:tRNA from 1 species
GGGGAUGUAGGUCAGUGGUAGAGCACAUGCCCAGUGUGCAUGAGGCUCUGGGUUUAAUCCUCAGCAUGGCAA